rnacentral:rRNA from 1 species
AGCAGCCGCGGUAAUUCCAGCUCCAAUAGCGUAUAUUAAAGUUGUUGCAGUUAAAAAGCUCGUAGUUGAAUUUCGGGGUCAGUAAGUUGGUCGUGCCACUGGUAUGUACUGGCUUUACUGAUUCCUCCUUCUUGUAGAACCGUAAUGCCAUUAAGUUGGUGUUGCGGGAAAACAGGACUGUUACUUUGAAAAAAUUAGAGUGUUUAAAGCAAGCUAACGCUUGAAUACAUUAGCAUGGAAUAAUGAAAUAGGACGAACGAUCCUAUUUUGUUGGUUUCUAGGAUUGACGUAAUGAUUAAUAGGGAUAGUUGGGGGCAUUAGUAUUCAAUUGUCAGAGGUGAAAUUCUUGGAUUUAUUGAAGACUAACUACUGCGAAAGCAUUUGCCAAGGAUGUUUUCAUUAAUCAAGAACGAAAGUUAGGGGAUCGAAGACGAUCAGAUACCGUCGUAGUCUUAACCAUAAACUAUGCCGACUAGGGAUCGGAUGAUGUUAAUUUUUUAACGACUCAUUCGGCGCCUUA